rnacentral:rRNA from 1 species
UGGGGAAUUUUGGACAAUGGGCGAAAGCCUGAUCCAGCAAUGCCGCGUGUGUGAAGAAGGCCUUCGGGUUGUAAAGCACUUUUGUCCGGAAAGAAAUCCUUGGCUCUAAUACAGUCGGGGGAUGACGGUACCGGAAGAAUAAGCACCGGCUAACUACGUGCCAGCAGCCGCGGUAAUACGUAGGGUGCAAGCGUUAAUCGGAAUUACUGGGCGUAAAGCGUGCGCAGGCGGUUUGCUAAGACCGAUGUGAAAUCCCCGGGCUCAACCUGGGAACUGCAUUGGUGACUGGCAGGCUAGAGUAUGGCAGAGGGGGGUAGAAUUCCACGUGUAGCAGUGAAAUGCGUAGAGAUGUGGAGGAAUACCGAUGGCGAAGGCAGCCCCCUGGGCCAAUACUGACGCUCAUGCACGAAAGCGUGGGGGAGCAAACAGGAUUAGAUACCCUGGUAGUCCACGCCCUAAACGAUGUCAACUAGUUGUUGGGGAUUCAUUUCCUUAGUAACGUAGCUAACGCGUGAAGUUGACCGCCUGGGGAGUACGGUCGCAAGAUUAAAACUUAAAUGAAUUGACGGGGUCAUAGCUGUUUCCU